UGCCAGCAGCCGCGGUAAUACGGAGGGGGCAAGCGUUGUUCGGAAUUACUGGGCGUAAAGGGCGCGUAGGCGGCGGUUUUAGUCAGGCGUGAAAGUCCAUGGCUCAACCGUGGAAGUGCAUUUGAAACUGGAUGGCUUGAGUACUGGAGGGGGUGGUGGAAUUCCCGGUGUAGAGGUGAAAUUCGUAGAUAUCGGGAGGAAUACCGGUGGCGAAGGCGACCACCUGGCCAGAUACUGACGCUGAGGCGCGAAGGCGUGGGUAGCAAACAGGAUUAGAUA
rnacentral:rRNA from 1 species